rnacentral:rRNA from 1 species
UACGGAGGGUGCAAGCGUUAUCCGGAUUUAUUGGGUUUAAAGGGUGCGCAGGCGGGACUUUAAGUCAGUGGUGAAAUCCCUUCGCUUAACGAAGGAACUGCCAUUGAUACUGAAGUUCUUGAAUCUAGUUGACGUUAGUGGAAUGUGUCGUGUAGCGGUGAAAUGCUUAGAUAUGACACAGAACACCGAUCGCGAAGGCAGCUAACGAAGCUAGUAUUGACGCUCAGGCACGACAGCAUGGGGAGCAAACAGG